AGAACUCUCAAUCAUUUUUGUUCCUACCCGUAUAUUAUUUCAACGCUAUUCUUCAACAGUAAAAAAAAUGGAGAUAUCUCUCUCCCUCCCUCUCUCUCCAUCAUCAACAACAACUCAGCAGCAACAGGUCCUCUCUAACCAUACUCUAUCCUCAUCUCCAAAUUACACUAUCAAAUCCAACAAAUUCACGACCCUGCCACUUCUCUGUCACAAUCAUCUUUGUAAUCGCUCCAGUGCUUUGUAUUUCUCGUCAUCCUCAUCCAUGGAAGCGGCCCCUCCUGAAGGUUACAGAAGAAACGACGGCAUUUGUAUCGUCAAUCCUCCCAAAAUGGUCACAUGUUCAUACUAUUCUCUCUCUAGAAUUAGUUUCUCAUUCUGUCUCUAAAUGUAAAAUACACAUAAGAAAAGCUAGCAUUAUAAUUGUGGUUUCUAUUUAUGUAUAACAUAUGUUCACUUUGUUCUCAUUAUUAUACCUUUUUUUUUUAUAUAUAUAUAUUAAAAUUAUGAUCAAUUAAGUUU